rnacentral:rRNA from 1 species
UACAGAGGGUGCGAGCGUUAAUCGGAAUUACUGGGCGUAAAGCGUGCGUAGACGGUUAUUUAAGUCGGGUGUGAAAGCCCCGGGCUCAACCUGGGAAUUGCAUUCGAGACUGAAUAGCUAGGGUACGGUAGGGGCAGAGGGAAUUUCCGGUGGAGCGGUGAAAUGCGUAGAGAUCGGAAAGAACACCAACGGCGAAAGCACUCUGCUGGGCCGACACUGACACUGAGAGACGAAAGCUAGGGGAGCGAAUGGG